GGGCUGGUGGUGUAGUGGUUAACACGUUGCGUCCGGAUGUGAAGAGGAGUGGUUCGAUUCCCUACCAGUUCA
rnacentral:tRNA from 1 species